UUCCUCAUCCCUCGGAAUUUCCUCAUCCCUCAGCCAGCUGUGCGCCAGUGCCUCUGCUGGUGUCAUCCGCAGAGCUGGAUCCCAUCUGUUGAGGCACACAGAAAUAUGUGGCACACGUGGCAAGGGUGAUAAUGAUUGUUAUAACGCGGGCUGCUGACGGGGAAGCGGCAGAGGCAGCAGGGGGCAGUACACACAUCAGCAGAGGGAGAUCUAAAGGGAAGCCCAGGAAGAAAUCGAUCUGGAAGCCUGAGAACCCGCUAGUAGGUUCGAGAAAGAGGGCGUGGCAAGGGCGGGGCGAGGCCACGCCAGGGGAAUAAAAGGGGGCCCGGGACGGGAGCUCGCGGCUGUUGCUGGAAGUGGAUCCCCUCGCCGUGUCGCCGUUCGUCACCUUCGUCGGUUCCGUCUCCGACCACCUUAGACGCCGCAAGCUAGACAGCCUGCAGACUGUUCCAGCUAGGUAGUACCUUCAAGAACAUGGAUGUGUGACUAGUGCGUAGGCACGCGGGGCACAUGUGGUUUCCUGACGUGUGGAAUAAGGAAGGUCCCUUAAGAACCCUGUCUCCGACUGAGUCACUACACGUGCAUGGACCAUGUGACUGAAUGGGAAAACCUCUCGGUGGUAUGGUGGGAGCGGGGUUGUGUUCUUACUC